rnacentral:misc_RNA from 1 species
GAAAUGCGAUAAGUAAUGUGAAUUGCAGAAUUCAGUGAAUCAUCGAACCUUUGAACGCACCUUGCGCUCCUUGGUAUUCCUUGGAGCAUGCCUGUUUGAGUAUCAUGAAAUCUUCAAAGUAAAUCUUUUGUUAACUCAAUUGGUUUCUACUUUGGUAUUGGAGGUCUUUGCAGCUUCACACCUGCUCCUCUUUGUUCAUUAGCUGGAUCUCAGUGUUAUGCUUGGUUCCACUCGGCGUGAUAAGUUAUCUAUCGCUGAGGACACUGUAAAAGGUGGCCAAGGUAAAUGCAGAUGAACCGCUUCUAAUAGUCCAUUGACUUGGACAAUACUUUUAUGACCUGAUCUCAAAUCAGGUAGGACUACCCGCUGAACUUAAGC